CCUACGGGAGGCAGCAGUGGGGAAUAUUGCGCAAUGGGCGAAAGCCUGACGCAGCGACGCCGCGUGAGGGAUGAAGGUCUUCGGAUCGUAAACCUCUGUCAGCAGGGAAGAACGGUCACUGUGCUAAUCAGCAGUGAAUUGACGGUACCUGCAAAGGAAGCACCGGCUAACCCCGUGCCAGCAGCCGCGGUAAUACGGAGGGUGCGAGCGUUAAUCGGAAUUACUGGGCGUAAAGCGCUCGUAGGCGGUAUGUCAAGUCAAGGGUGAAAUCCCCGCGCUCAGCGUGGGAACUGCCUUUGAAACUGGCAAAGUGGAGUGUGUGAGAGGAUAGGGGAAGUCCAGGGGUAGGGGUGAAAGCGGGAGAUAUCUGGAGGAA
rnacentral:rRNA from 1 species